AUUGAACGCUAGCGGGAUGCUUUACACAUGCAAGUCGAACGGCAGCGCGGACUUCGGUCUGGCGGCGAGUGGCGAACGGGUGAGUAAUGUAUCGGAACGUGCCCAGUAGCGGGGGAUAACUACGCGAAAGCGUAGCUAAUACCGCAUACGCCCUACGGGGAAAGCAGGGGAUCGUAAGACCUUGCACUAUUGGAGCGGCCGAUAUCGGAUUAGCUAGUUGGUGGGGUAACGGCUCACCAAGGCGACGAUCCGUAGCUGGUGUGAGAGGACGACCGGCCACACUGGGACUGAGACACGGCCCAGACUCCUACGGGAGGCAGCAGUGGGGAAUGGUGGACAAUGGGGGCAACCCUGACCCAGCCAGCCCGCGUGUGCGAUGAAGGCCCUCGGGUUGUAAAGCACUUUUGGCAGGAAAGAAACGUCGCGGGCUAAUACCCCGUGGAACUGACGGUACCUGCAGAAUAAGCACCGGCUAACUACGUG
rnacentral:rRNA from 1 species